UAAGGAAUAUUGGUCAAUGGGCGGAAGCCUGAACCAGCCAUGCCGCGUGCAGGAAGACGGCCCUACGGGUUGUAAACUGCUUUUGCAGGGGAAUAAACCCCGGUACGUGUAUCGGGUUGAAUGUACUCUGAGAAUAAGGAUCGGCUAACUCCGUGCCAGCAGCCGCGGUAAUACGGAGGAUCCGAGCGUUAUCCGGAUUUAUUGGGUUUAAAGGGUGCGUAGGCGGCUUAUUAAGUCAGGGGUGAAAGACGGUAGCUUAACUAUCGCAGUGCCUUUGAUACUGAUGAGCUUGAAUGUAGUUGAGGUAGGCGGAAUGUGACAAGUAGCGGUGAAAUGCAUAGAUAUGUCACAGAACACCAAUUGCGAAGGCAGCUUACUAAAGUAUGAUUGACGCUGAGGCACGAAAGCGUGGGGAUCAAACAGGAUUAGAUACCCCCGUAGUCC
rnacentral:rRNA from 1 species